UGGGGAAUAUUGGACAAUGGGCGCAAGCCUGAUCCAGCCAUGCCGCGUGUGUGAAGAAGGCCUUUUGGUUGUAAAGCACUUUAAGCGAGGAGGAGGCUACUUGGAUUAAUACUCUAGGAUAGUGGACGUUACUCGCAGAAUAAGCACCGGCUAACUCUGUGCCAGCAGCCGCGGUAAUACAGAGGGUGCGAGCGUUAAUCGGAUUUACUGGGCGUAAAGCGUGCGUAGGCGGCUUUUUAAGUCGGAUGUGAAAUCCCUGAGCUUAACUUAGGAAUUGCAUUCGAUACUGGGAAGCUAGAGUAUGGGAGAGGAUGGUAGAAUUCCAGGUGUAGCGGUGAAAUGCGUAGAGAUCUGGAGGAAUACCGAUGGCGAAGGCAGCCAUCUGGCCUAAUACUGACGCUGAGGUACGAAAGCAUGGGGAGCAAACAGG
rnacentral:rRNA from 8 species